rnacentral:rRNA from 1 species
UGGCGACCGGCGCACGGGUGAGUAACGCGUAUCCAACCUGCCCUUUACUAUGGGACAGCCCGUCGAAAGGCGGAUUAAUACCGUAUGUUGUCAUGUUGAUGCAUAUUUUCAUGACCAAAGGCUUCGGCCGGUAAAGGAUGGGGAUGCGUCUGAUUAGCUUGCCGGCGGGGUAACGGCCCACCGGGGCGACGAUCAGUAGGGGUUCUGAGAGGAAGGUCCCCCACAUUAGAACUGAGACACGGUCCAAACUCCUACGGGAGGCAGCAG